rnacentral:piRNA from 1 species
UGUCUGCUGGGACCAGAUGGCCUUCGAGA